rnacentral:rRNA from 1 species
UACGGAGGGGGCUAGCGUUGUUCGGAAUUACUGGGCGUAAAGCGCACGUAGGCGGCUUUGUAAGUUAGAGGUGAAAGCCCGGGGCUCAACCUUCAGACGUCGACCCAAACCCCCUGGCUAGAGUCCGGAAGAGGAGAGUGGAAUUCCUGGUGUAGCGGUGAAAUGCGCAGAUAUCAGGAGGAACACCAAUUGCGAAGGCAGCUCGCUGGGACGUUACUGACGCUGAGACGCGAAAGCGUGGGGAGCAAACAGG